GGGAGAAGGAACGUCAGCCCGGGAAGGGAGCGUGAGGCCUGUGCCUCUCCCUGAAGGUGUGCCAGAAGCUUGGCAAAAGAAAUCCCAUAUAGAAACAGUGGGAGCCUGGAGAUUGUCGGGGGAGAGUGAGGUCAUUGGAGAACCAUGAGUACUACUGAAGAAAGUAUAGAGCCGUGUUGAUUGGUGCCAUCUCACAUUUCUCUCUUUCACUCUCAGCUGGUGUGGGUGAGUCUUCAACACUCCAUUACAAAUUAUAGUCACCGUAUUCAUUCCUGGUGGGAGUCACUUUUCAUUCCUUCAGCAGACCAUCUAAACUUGAAUCCUCUUCUAACGUCCCAUCAUCUUUCUUCCCCCUCAACCUUAACAGAUGGCCUAGCUCUCUAUUUCAGAGAAAAGAGAGGUCCCCAAGUAUGCACAACAGAUAG
rnacentral:lncRNA from 1 species